UCCACGCUGUAAACGAUGUGCACUAGGUGUAGGUGAUGUGAUAGUCAUCUGUGCCGCAGCAAACGCGAUAAGUGCACCGCCUGGGGAGUAUGCCCGCAAGGGUGAAACUCAAAGGAAUUGACGGGGGCCCGCACAAGCGGUGGAGCAUGUGGUUUAAUUCGAUGAUACGCGAGGAACCUUACCAGGGCUUGACAUCUACAUGGGAGUCCAGGGACUGGGCUGG
rnacentral:rRNA from 1 species